rnacentral:tRNA from 8 species
GGGCGCGUAGCUCAGUGGGAGAGCACUCGCCUUACAAGCGAGGGGUCGCAGGUUCGAAACCUGCCGCGCCCACC